rnacentral:tRNA from 1 species
GGGGCUAGAGCUCAGUGGUAGAGCCCAUGCUUGGCAUGCAUGAGGUCCUGGAUUCAAUCUCCAGUGCCCCA